rnacentral:rRNA from 1 species
CCUACGGGAGGCAGCAGUGGGGAAUAUUGCACAAUGGGGGAAACCCUGAUGCAGCAACGCCGCGUGAGUGAUGACGGCCUUCGGGUUGUAAAGCUCUGUCUUCAGGGAAGAGUAGAAGACGGUACCUGACGAAUAAGCCACGGCUAACUACGUGCCAGCAGCCGCGGUAAUACGUAGGUGGCAAGCGUUGUCCGGAUUUACUGGGUGUAAAGGGCGUGUAGCCGGGUUGACAAGUCAGAUGUGAAAUCCUGCGGCUUAACCGCAGAACUGCAUUUGAAACUGUUGAUCUUGAGUACUGGAGAGGCAGACGGAAUUCCUAGUGUAGCGGUGAAAUGCGUAGAGAUUAGGAGGAACACCAGUGGCGAAGGCGGUCUGCUGGACAGCAACUGACGGUGAGGCGCGAAAGCGUGGGGAGCAAACAGGAUUAGAUACCCGAGUAGUC